rnacentral:rRNA from 1 species
GACGAACGCUGGCGGCGUGCCUAACACAUGCAAGUCGAGCGGAGAUAAGCGGAAGGUAACUGAAGCUUAUCUUAGCGGCGGACGGGUGAGUAACACGUGGGCAACCUGCCUUGAAGUGGGGGAUAACACCGGGAAAUCGGUGCUAAUACCGCAUAACAUACACAAACUGCAUGGUAAGUGUAUCAAAGGAGCAAUCCGCUUUAAGAUGGGCCCGCGGCUGAUUAGCUAGUUGUAAGGUAACGGCUUACCAAGGCGACGAUCAGUAGCCGACCUGAGAGGGUGACCGGCCACACUGGAACUGAGAUACGGUCCAGACUCCUACGGGAGGCAGCAGUGGGGAAUAUUGGGCAAUGGGGGAAACCCUGACCCAGCGACGCCGCGUGGGUGAAGAAAUCCUUCGGGAUGUAAAGCCCUGUUGUAUGGGAAGAGCGGAAGACGGUACCAAUACGAGGAAGCCCCGGCAAACUACGUGCCAGCAGCCGCGGUAAACUAGGUCUACG